AACGAACGCUGGCGGCAGGCCUAACACAUGCAAGUCGAGCGAGGACUUCGGUCCUAGCGGCGGACGGGUGAGUAACGCGUGGGAACGUGCCCUUUGCUUCGGAAUAGCCCUGGGAAACUGGGAGUAAUACCGGAUGAGCCCUUUGGGGGAAAGAUUUAUCGGCGAAGGAUCGGCCCGCGUUGGAUUAGGUAGUUGGUGGGGUAAUGGCCUACCAAGCCGACGAUCCAUAGCUGGUUUGAGAGGAUGAUCAGCCACACUGGGACUGAGACACGGCCCAGACUCCUACGGGAGGCAGCAGUGGGGAAUCUUUGACAAUGGGGGAAACCCUGAUCUAGCCAUGCCGCGUGAGCGAUGAAGGCCUUAGGGUUGUAAAGCUCUUUCAGCUGGGAAGAUAAUGACGGUACCAGCAGAAGAAGCCCCGGCUAACUCCGUG
rnacentral:rRNA from 1 species